rnacentral:lncRNA from 1 species
CUUUCGGAGCUGUGCGGCAUUCUGAGCAGGAAUGGCAGUGUGGACCUCUGUGAUGGGACAUCUUGUGGGAUCUCACAGCCAGUUCUGUGGCAAAGGAGGAUGAAGGCUUACGAGGUGGAGUUUGAGGCUGGAUAGACAGUUUGAAAGUUAACUGGUUGCAUGCUUGUUCAUUUGGCUGGCUUGCUUGGGUACAAAUAAUGGUUUGAAUAAAGAAAGGUAUUAAUGGGUCACCUCAAGUGAAGGCACUGCAAACACAAUGAUUGGUCAUUCUGAAUUUCCGGUCCUUCAUUCUGAAUUUCAAAGGCUCCUGUGACAAGUGGACAUGCAGUGACUGCACCUUUGUUUCUGAGGUGCCUGGAUGGAGGCUCAAAUAGAAGAUGGUGUCAGAUAUAUUGUGUUAAAAUUUUACCAUUAAAGUGUAUUAUAACAUGAA